GACAGAGGUGGCAAGCGUUGUCCGGACUGACUGGGCGUACAGCGCACGCAGGUGGCAGCGCGAGUGCGGUGUGAAAGCCCCCGGCUUAACCGGGGGUCGCCAUCGCAGACUGCGCCGCUCGAGCGAUGCAGAGGUCGGUGGAAUUGCCGGUGUAGUGGUGAAAUGCGUAGAGAUCGGCAGGAACACCAAAGGUGAAAACAGGUUGCUGGGGAUGUACUGACGCUGAGACACGAAAGCCAGGGGAGCAAACGGG
rnacentral:rRNA from 1 species